GACGAACGCUGGCGGCGUGCUUAACACAUGCAAGUCGAACGGAAAGGCCCCUUUGGGGGUACUCGAGUGGCGAACGGGUGAGUAACACGUGAGUAACCUGCCCUUGACUUCGGGAUAACUUCAGGAAACUGGGGCUAAUACCGGAUAGGAAUCCUUGCUGCAUGGUGGGGGUUGGAAAGCUUCGGCGGUUUUGGAUGGACUCGCGGCUUAUCAGCUUGUUGGUGGGGUAGUGGCUUACCAAGGCUUUGACGGGUAGCCGGCCUGAGAGGGCGACCGGCCACAUUGGGACUGAGAUACGGCCCAGACUCCUACGGGAGGCAGCAAGGGGGAAUAUUGCACAAGGGGCGGAAGCCUGAUGCAGCAACGCCGCGUGCGGGAUGACGGCCUUCGGGUUGUAAACCGCUUUCAGCAGGGGCGAAGCUUGUGGUGACGGUACCUGCAGAAGAAGCACCGGCUAACUACGUG
rnacentral:rRNA from 1 species